rnacentral:rRNA from 1 species
CCUACGGGUGGCAGCAGUGAGGAAUAUUGGUCAAUGGACGCGAGUCUGAACCAGCCAAGUAGCGUGCAGGAUGACUGCCCUAUGGGUUGUAAACUUCUUUUAUAUAGGAAUAAAACGAGGCACGUGUGCCUUUUUGCAUGUACUUUAUGAAUAAGGGUCGGCUAACUCCGUGCCAGCAGCCGCGGUCAUACGGAGGAUCCGCGCGUUAUCCGGAUUUAUUGGGUUUAAAGGGAGCGUAGGCGGGUUGUUAAGUCAGUUGUGAAUGUUUGCGGCUCAACCGUAAAAUUGCAGUUGAUACUGGAAGCCUUGAGUACAGUAGAGGUAGGCGGAAUUCGUGGUGUAGCGGUGAAAUGCUUAGAUAUCACGAAGAACUCCGAUUGCGAAGGCAGCCUGCUGGACUGUAACUGACGCUGAUGCUCGAAAGUGUGGGUAUCAAACAGGAUUAGAUACCCCUGUAGUC